UGUCACAUGUUCUCCCGCGUAAUAAUUUGAACAAGCAGAGAGAGUGUGGUGUGUGAUUGGUUAGGGUAGAGUGGAACUGGGCCGUGAUUGGAUGCGGGGUUCAUAUAUUAAGGGACGCGAGAGCAUUUGGGGGGAGAUUGGAACGAGACAGGACGUGACGUGACGCUGACGGGUUGUUUGUAAACAAUAUAUUUCUUUAGUGAACACAAA